rnacentral:lncRNA from 1 species
AGAAUUGGAAAGUUUUAAAAAGUACACAGCCACUUUAGAAGAGCAAAGAGAAAGUUUAUCAGAAAAGUGUAAGCUCAACCAGGCUCAGUUGAAUCGAAAGCAAGAAACUUUUCAAAAUUUAGAGCAUGAAACUGCUUGUCGUAUUGCAAAUUUAGAAACUAAGGUUGCUUCUCAACAUAAAACUUGCAUUCAACAAGAAUUAGAAAUUGAAAG